CAGAAAAAUCGAGGAACUAAAUUUGUGAUCUAUUUUACCUUUUUGACGUCUUUCGCGACUGAAAAAUUAACGAAAUCGUAGUUCUCACUAUUUUUCUAAACGAAAGCUUUGUACACCAUCCUCUGAGUGCUCGUUUUACUUUCUCCGACCCAAAGAAUAACGCUGUAGUCUCUAUUUGGACAUACUUAACCGUGGCACCGACCGUGGACAGACCCCAAUUUCAAUAUUUGAUAACUUUUUGACGAUUUGGAUAAAAUAAGGACCAGAACGCCAUUCUUUAGGGCCUCCUGAACAUGUCCCCCAAAUUUCUUUGCAAUCUGUUCAGUAGAAACGAAGAAAGGAGUGUUCUCGUUUCUAGGGAUUAUUCUAGGGACUGUCGGUAAAGUUUUCAGCGACGCUAGUUGAAAAACAAUCAUGAGUGAAGACGCUAAAGAAAACGAAUUCGUAUUGCGACCCAUAAAUUGCGAAUUAAAUCAACUUUCUAUGCCGGAUGGGUCGGCAAUGUUAAUGCAAGGAGAUACUGCAGUGGUUGCUGGUGUUUAUGGACCAGUGGAACCAAAACCUCAAAAAAUGAUCUAUGACAAAGCAUUUGUGGAGGUAUCUUAUACUCCUAUAAAAGGACCUGCUAAGGUGGAUGAUAGGAUGACAGAAAUGUAUAUAAAAGAAACUUGCGAAGCUGCAAUAAUUGUGACCUUCCAUCCAGCCACAGCUAUAUGUAUCAACAUACAAGAAGUAGAGGAUUCUGGUGGGUUGUUAGCUUGCAUAAUCAAUGCAGCCUGCCUGGCGCUUAUUAACGCUGCAGUUCCAAUGAAAUUCACUAUUGCAGCAGUCUGUUGCAUGAUACAGGAAAAUACUGAUAACAUUAUAUUAGAUCCUAACAACAAUCAAUUAGAGGAUGCUAGAGCAGAGUUCACUUAUGCAUUCGAUAGCAUGAACAAAGACGUCAUAUGCUGUCACACUGUGGGUCAAUUCACGGAGGCGGAGUUCUUCGAAACGAUGGAUAAAUGCAAACAGAAGGAUCAUCAGCUCGUACCUUUCGCUAGCUACUGUCCAGCGAAAUACGAACGUGAUCAUAUGGAAAGGCGGGUCAAGAGGUGACCAGAUGAAGGCGAAGACAAUGUACGCCCCUGGCGCUGCUGGACAAAGACAUCACAACGCCCUGGACUAAUCAACUUGGUUUGUCGAUGAGCCUAUUUGUAAAGGUGCGAGGGUGCAGAGUAAGAGGACGUUACCAGGUUCGAUACGGCAGUGAACGUGACGAAUAAUGUUUGAAGGUAAGUUCGUCGCAAUGGAGAAUUUAUUGCGGUCAAAUAUUGGCGUGAAAUUCCGAAGGUUGCGGCCCAUCGUUGACACCCCCGUAAAUUAUAAAUAUGCACGGGUAACCGAUAAAUCCCAUACGCCAUGCAUCGAAACCAGUUCGACGACUGUUAUAACACGUAUCGAUCCUCCUACCCUUCUAGUCGUUUACUCGAUGAAUCGGCCAGAUCCUUUGAAUUAAAGCACGGAACAGAUACUCCUUUUAAUCUGAAAAAAUCCUUGAAAUAUCGUCGUGGAUAAGUUGAAACGUCUCCAUUCGUGAGUACAAUACAAGCAGCUUUCACGAUUCGUCCGACAAAAGUGUCUCACGCAAAAUCGAGGCGACUGGUUUGCUUCCCCCUAUCCACCCCUGCUCGCCCAUUUUCUUUAUUACAUUCCUUAUUUCCUAUCCACCAGUCUCUGUAACUGUAAUACAAAUUCCUAUUGUGAUUUAUGUUGAUAUCAAUGGCAACCCCUCGGUGUCGUCCCGUCCGCUCGCUUCCUCCCUUCCACUCGCGCGAAACGACACCCUCCGCUCACCCUUCGUCCAGAUAUUAUGCUUUAUUGAAUCAGACUUGUCACUGUUAUUGUUGGCUCCGGCUUCUUCGACUCGUUCGUUUCACGGCUGCCACUGCGGAUCCGGGGGUGAAACCAACCGACGACAGGGUCUCUCUAUGAAUUUUAUUAAUAAAACAACAUUGCCGCCCAGCUUCGACAAUGAAGCGACUGACAGCCUCUAGCCGCUCUUAACGCUUGUAUCUCUGUUCAGAGCGGACGAGCGUGGAAAAUUCGCGCGUUUCAAAUCCCUCAACCCCUUGCGGAGAAAGGAAGCGGCAUCCCGGCGUCGGAUUCCGGUUUUCUAAAGCGGGACGCGCAAAGUCAACCCGCUACUUAUCGUCGCGGAGGGUGGAGUAGCUUUGUGUCUCGGUUUCAAGAAGCGAACGCUUUGUCCACGAGACGGGGCACGGUUAACUCGACGCCGAUAGCGCGAGAGCAACCGCGCCACUUGACUGUCUACCGUUCCGGGGGUGAAUUGUUCCGCAGAAGGGUGGCGAAUAAUGUUUUUUGUUCGACGCUCGAACGGCUAUGAGCUGGAAAAUUGAGCGCUUGUUUGCGAAUGUUUUGAUGUCUUUUGACGUUUGCUGAUCGAAUUUCGUUUACAUGUUUUCUCAUAUUAUAACCUGAAUUUUAAUUGAUAUUUAUAAAUUAAUAUCUUCAAAGCCUGGUAUUUUUAUCUUUUGAUUAUUUGACCGAAUGAAGCUCGUACUCUUUGAAAGUAAAUCAACGAUCAUGCACGUGCCAUUUGAAGCACGAAAUUCAGUGGCUCCAGAAAUAGAAGUCCGUGAACCAUUUACCUGCCCAGUCAUCAACCAUCCGCACAUUUCGCUUCUCUGAAUGGAUCUAAGAACCAAUACUCCCAUUAACGGUCGAUUGAAGAGCCGUUCGUAGGCGAAAAACGUGAGAGUAUAGAGGAGGAGCAGAGAGAGGCGGAAAGGGAACACACGCGUGCGUUUACACAACGUAGCUACAACAGUGACUUGCGUCAGUGGGCCGCUAUAAACGUGAUUAAUGGUCGCAAGUCGUUUACCAUUCUGAUACUCUUGCUGCAGCCGGAACAACAAAGUGCUCCUUCACCCACUGUCGCUCUUUUCCCCUUUGUCGUCAUCGUUCUCCUCGUCUAUGAGUAUCUCUUCUCGUCGAACACACGGUAUUCUUUGUCAAAUAGAUACAAGAGGUGAAGUGUUCUUAUCGCUAGGGUAUAAUGAGUCAUUUGGAAAUAAGAAAAUUGUAAUUUUGAUAAUGAUUGAAUUAUCUAUAUUUCUUUAAUAAUACAUUGACAGUGACAAAAGAAAUAACUUAUUGCUAGGGUUUAAUGAAUAAUUUGGAAACAAAAAAUUCUAAUUUUGAUGACGGUUGAAUCAUCUAUAUUUCUUUGAUAAUAUAUUGACAGUGACAGAACAAGUGACUUUCAACCCCAUGCAGCCCGGUGGCAAGACGAACAUCCAUUUGGUAACGGAUGACAAGUGGCACGGUAUGCCCAUGAAGCAGUAUUCUCUCACGAAGGACAGCGCAAACAUUCUCGAUUUACACGUUAGCCAUUCCAUUUGGCUCGAAUCGGUUGGAAGCCAUUAAUAUUGGCCAGCGUGAAAGCAACUCGGGCUUCUGGCUCGCCAGUAAAGACAGCCAACCCUUUGCUCUCGAUUCCGUGAAACCGUCUAAGGGGGUAAACGUUUCUCCGACCUCUUUCAAUCCGUUCGUUUGCUUCUAUCAUCCAUCCUGAACACCCUCGAAAUCAAUAAAUACAUAUUUGUUCGACACACAUCAAUGACACUAAUACCAUUAAUCCAGGGCUGACGCAGCAAGCGUAUAGAGGCGGAUCGUGUUCGUCGACGAAAGAAGCCGCAAAGGGUGUAUUCGUGGAAGAUAGAGGAGGCAGGAACAAGAUAAAGUUACUAAUCCUUAACAUCACUACAUCCUUAUAUCACUACAUUCCCUAUAUUCCUGCAUCUCGUAUAUUCCGGCAUUCCUUUUACCUCGGCAUCCCUUACCUUCUUGCAUCCCUUACAUCUCUGUACCCUUUAUAUCUCUGUAUCCCUUACACUCCUGAAUUCUC